rnacentral:rRNA from 1 species
AUACGGAGGAUGCGAGCGUUAUCCGGAUUUAUUGGGUUUAAAGGGUGCGUAGGCGGAAAGUUAAGUCAGCGGUGAAACGCAGGUGCUCAACACCUGACCUGCCGUUGAGACUGGUUUUCUAGAAUGCGGAUGCUGUGGGAGGAAUGUGUGGUGUAGCGGUGAAAUGCAUAGAUAUCACACAGAACGCCGAUUGCGAAGGCAUCUCACAAAUCCGCGAGUGACGCUGAGGCACGAAGGUGCGGGGAUCGAACAGGAUUAGAUACCCUGGUAGUCCGCACAGUAAACGAUGAUAACUCGCUGUCGGCGAUAGACAGUCGGUGGCCAAGCGAAAGCGAUAAGUUAUCCACCUGGGGAGUACGACCGCAAGGUUGAAACUCAAAUGAAUUGACGGGG